UACAGAGGUCUCAAGCGAUUGUUCGGAUUCAUUGGGCGUAAAGGGUGCGUAGGCGGCGCGGUAAGUCGGGUGUGAAAUCUCGGAGCCUAACUCCGAAACUGCAUUCGAUACUGCCGUGCUUGAGGACUGGAGAGGAGACUGGAAUUUACGGUGUAGCGGUGAAAUGCGUAGAUAUCGUAAGGAAGACCAGUGGCGAAGGCGGGGUCUCUGGACAGUUCCUGACGCUGAGGCACGAAGGUCAGGGGAGCAAACGGGG
rnacentral:rRNA from 1 species